rnacentral:rRNA from 1 species
CAGCACCUCAAGUGGUCAGGAUGAUUAUUGGGCCUAAAGCAUCCGUAGCCGGCGCUGUAAGUUUUCGGUUAAAUCUGUACGCUCAACGUACAGGCUGCCGGGAAUACUGCAGCGCUAGGGAGUGGGAGAGGUAGACGGUACUCGGUAGGAAGGGUAAAAUCCUUUGAUCUAUUGAUGACCACCUGUGGCGAAGGCGGUCUACCAGAACACGUCCGACGGUGAGGGAUGAAAGCUGGGGGAGCAAACCGGAUUAGAUACCCGAGUAGUCC